rnacentral:rRNA from 1 species
GACGAACGCUGGCGGCGUGCCUAAUACAUGCCAGUAGAACGCACAGUUUAUACCGUAGCUUGCUACACCAUAAACUGUGAGUUGCGAACGGGUGAGUAACGCGUAGGUAACCUGCCUGGUAGCGGGGGAUAACUAUUGGAAACGAUAGCUAAUACCGCAUAAUAUUGAUUAUUGCAUGAUAAUUGAUUGAAAGAUGCUAUUGCAUCACUACCAGAUGGACCUGCGUUGUAUUAGCUAGUAGGUGAGGUAACGGCUCACCUAGGCGACGAUACAUAGCCGACCUGAGAGGGUGAUCGGCCACACUGGGACUGAGACACGGCCCGGACUCCUACGGGAGGCAGCAGUAGGGAAUCUUCGGCAAUGGACGAAAGUCUGACCGAGCAACGCCGCGUGAGUGAAGAAGGUUUUCGGAUCGUAAAGCUCUGUUGUAAGAGAAGAACGGGUGUGAGAGUGGAAAGUUCACACUGUGACGGUAUCUUACCAGAAAGGGACGGCUAACUACGUG